rnacentral:rRNA from 1 species
AGUAACACCUGGAAACAGAUGCUAAUACCGGAUAACAACAGAUGAUGCCUAUCAACUGUUUAAAAGAUGGUUCUGCUAUCACUCUUGGAUGGACCUGCGGUGCAUUAGCUAGUUGGUAGGGUAACGGCCUACCAAGGCGAUGAUGCAUAGCCGAGUUGAGAGACUGAUCGGCCACAUUGGGACUGAGACACGGCCCAAACUCCUACGGGAGGCAGCAGGC